rnacentral:rRNA from 1 species
GGUCCUACGGGGGGCAGCAGUGAGGAAUAUUGGUCAAUGGGCGGAAGCCUGAACCAGCCAAGUCGCGUGAGGGAAUAAGGCCCUACGGGUCGUAAACCUCUUUUGCCGGGGAGCAAGGGCCGGGACGAGUCCCGGUCCGGAGAGUACCCGGAGAAAAAGCAUCGGCUAACUCCGUGCCAGCAGCCGCGGUAAUACGUAGGUGGCGAGCGUUAUCCGGAAUGAUUGGGCGUAAAGGGUGCGCAGGCGGUCCUGCAAGUCUGGAGUGAAACGCAUGAGCUCAACUCAUGCAUGGCUUUGGAAACUGG